ACGCUCGACACCUACGGGAGGCAGCAGUGGGGAAUAUUGCACAAUGGGGGAAACCCUGAUGCAGCGACGCCGCGUGAGCGAAGAAGUAUUUCGGUAUGUAAAGCUCUAUCAGCAGGGAAGAAACUGACGGUACCUGACUAAGAAGCACCGGCUAAAUACGUGCCACAGCCGCGGUAAUCUGAGCGGGCUGGCAAGGC
rnacentral:rRNA from 1 species